rnacentral:tRNA from 1 species
AUCACUAUAGCUCAAUCUGGUAGAGCAACUGACGGUUAAUCAGUAUGUAGCCGGUUCGAAUCCGGCUAGUG